AGCGCAUAGAAAUCAACAAAACUGAGUGGAUACUGAGAGCACUGCGCAGCGCACAGCGACUCAUCAAAAGAAAAAUCCAUGAAUCAACAAACUUCCGAACGUAAAGAUGGAUGUAUGUAUGUACGUAAAUAUACAUAUGUAUAUAGGUACAUUCGCUCGUCAACACGACAAAGCCCCAAGUAAGUGAGCGAGCAAGUGAGUGAGCGCAGCUUCGAAGGCCGUUGUUGGGUAAGCAGAGCCAGUUUGUGUGUUUGGGGAGUGGGUGUGGAGCAAGGUGGGCAGUUUGGUAGCAGCGCCAGCAGCAGCAGCAGCAGCAGCAAAGGCAGCAGUGUGCAUACAGCAACGAGUACCUCAGUCGCAGUCGCAGCAGCAGCAUCGGCAGUAAUGUAAGUAACGAUGAGCUUCGUUGUUAGCUGUGCGAAAAAUGCGGUGUUGAAAUUUUAGUCGAAAAGUUACUCUUUUAGUGUGCGGCUGCUCCACAAAUAAUUUAAAUUACUAACGCGAAUGAAGUGUUAUAUCUAUACUAAACACAACGAGACGGGUUUUCUGAUACAUUCAAAGCGAUUAACAUACGGUUCGGGAAACGUAAUUUAAUGAAAUUUAAUUUUGUUUUUAAAGCCAGAGUAUAUUUAUUACACAGUUCGCGAAAACAUCGUAUGAAAAUAACCAAUAAUAGCAACAACCACUUAAUGAAAAGUCGAUUUUCUAUUAAUACGUGUGCCAAAGUAGCAAUAACAAUGGCGCAUAUGUGUAGUGAAUGAGCGAGUGCGUGCCCACAAAGUGCCGCGGUGGUGAAGUGCAAGCGGAAAGAGCUACAUAGCCAUUGCUAUAGCGAGAGCUAAAGCGAGAAAGGGAGAGAGAGAGUGCGCGGAAUUACUUAUUUGCAAGCAAUCGAAUAGGUACGUAGUAUAGACGUAUGUAUUUCAAUUGUGCUUGAAUAGAAAUCGGAGGAAAAAUAUAUGCAUUUUUGUUAUUAAAAGUUGUUUGCACGCCAGUGCGCGAAAUCAAAGUCGAAAAUUACACAUUCAAUAGGUUUCGUUUGCAUUUAGCAGUAAUAUUCCGUUGCGCUAAUAAAAAAUAAAAUAAAUUAUUGAAAGCAAAGUGAAAAAAUCUACAAAAUUAUAUUUGCGGUCAAACGCCCAACGUAGACGAAUUUUCGCAAAAAUUUACGACGCGUGUGCUUUUUCGCAGCAGUAGCAGCGACGACGACGAUAUGCGUGUGUGUUUGCGCGAGCGAACGGUGUACAGGUGCAAUUGAACGCGCGUGUAUCUAUGAGCGUGCGAGUGUAUAAAUGAACUUACCUACAUAUGUGUGCGUGUGUUUGCAUAGAAAUUGCCAGCGCAAAGUGGCAAAACAAGCAAAUAACCAACCAGUUAACCAGCCACCAGUCAGCCAACUCAUGGCUGUGGGCAACUAAUACUCGUACAAAAAACAAAAUUAUUGCCCAAUUGGUUGCCUCAUCACGGCGCGACGCAUAGAAGCUGAAAUCCAGUUAAACCUAUUGCUUACCUGCUGCUAUACCUGCAUGCGAAUACAUAUUUAGUAGCGUGUUCACAUUUUGAAAGUAUCUCAUAGAUACAAUUUUUGCGAAACCUCAAAUCAAUAGUGUUUUUGUGUUGUUGCUUUUGCAGUAUUUAUUUCUUAUCGACAAAACGGGAGAAAAGUCAAAAUGAAAUAAAGUCCAUAUAAGUGUUAGCGUGUAUGGAAAAUAUACCUACAUAGAAAGUGAGGUGAGUGAGUUUUUACGUACUUACAUACAUAUGUACAUACGGUUUUAUGUAUUUACAUAUGCGUGUGCGCGAAGAAAGCUACAAACAAAACAAAACCGCCAAUAAAAGUCAGUGAAAAAUUGAAGAAAACAGAUACCGAGGUGAAAAUUUUUGCAACGUGCAAUAGAGAGAAAGCGUUUUGCAACACCCAUGAAACACCGAUCAAAGCAGACAAUGAAAAAAUAAACAACAACGGCAACAUCAACUAGCAGCAACAAAUCGAAGUGGCAGAUGGGAAACGCGUGAAGAAAACAAAAACCAUUGAAGGGAGAUUUUUCGAAAGCUACUUAAGUGGAGUAAAACAAGAAAUUCGAAGAGCAAUAAAAGAACUAACUAUCGAAGUUAAAGUACUAAAUAGGAGCUAUAAUUAGGUAAAAUUGUAAGUUUAAUAAGAAAAAAAUAACAUAACGUAAAAUACAUAACGUAAAGUAGCUAAAAAAAAGUGUUGGUAGAAGCAACUCCCCACUCAUACGCCAAAUAGAAGUUAAAAGCUAUUUACUAGAAGUCGAUUUUAUAAAAACUUAAAGUGCAUAAAACCGAAACGAGGAGAAAGUGAAGAAUUUUCGUAAUAAUACUUAUAAAGUGCAAAAA